rnacentral:rRNA from 1 species
CCCUUAGAUGUUCUGGGCCGCACGCGCGCUACACUGACGAAUGCAACGAGCUUAUAACCUUGGCCGAAAGGUCUGGGUAAUCUCCAAAUUUCGUCGUGAUGGGGAUAGAUUAUUGCAAUUAUUAAUCUUCAACGAGGAAUGCCUAGUAAGCGCAAGUCAUCAGCUUGCGUUGAUUACGUCCCUGCCCUUUGUACACACCGCCCGUCGCUCCUACCGAUUGAAUGGUCCGGUGAAGCGCUCGGACCGCGGCCUCUUGACGGUUCGCUGUCGAUUGUCUGUGGGAAGUUCGUUAAACCUUAUCAUUUAGAGGAAGGAGAAGUCGUAACA